AGGGGCAGCAUCAUCAAAGCUUGCUUUGAUGGAUGGCGACCGGCGCACGGGUGAGUAACACGUAUCCAACCUGCCGACAACACUGGGAUAGCCUUUCGAAAGAAAGAUUAAUACCCGAUGGUAUAAUCAGACCGCAUGGUCUUGUUAUUAAAGAAUUUCGGUAGACGAUGGGGAUGCGUUCCAUUAGAUAGUAGGCGGGGUAACGGCCCACCUAGUCUUCGAUGGAUAGGGGUUCUGAGAGGAAGGUCCCCACAUUGGAACUGAGACACGGUCCAAACUCC
rnacentral:rRNA from 1 species